rnacentral:lncRNA from 1 species
UGCUAAGGCCUAGUUUUUCAGGUGUUACUAAGUAACUAGGACUCCAGUACUCAAGUCAUGAUCCUUGGCUGUUUGAAAGAGGGCAAGCAUGGGUAGAAAUGAGAGCGUAAAUCACAGUUGUUUUGCUCUGUGCCAGUGCUCAGUACCAUCCUUCCAGUUUCAUAUAAGUGAGCAUCUCUGUGGAAAAUUUGCAAAUAAAAUUCUAUAAGAAAUUGUAUUUACACUGGGUGUGAUGGUGCACACCAGCACUUAGGAAGAGGAGUCCAGGGGGUCAGGGUUGUUAUUGACUGCAUAAAAAGUUCAAGGCCUGAAACCCAGCUCCCAAAAAAGCAUUUUGUUUUGAUUUUGUUCAAGUACAAAGUAUAGGAAAAGAAAUAAAUGCUAGCUGCCCAUGGAGACAUAACCCUUUAAUCCCUGCACUCAGGCAGCAGAGUUGGGUAGAGCUCUGUGAGUUCCAAGACAGCCAGGGCUACACAGAGAAACCCUGUCUUAAAAAACAAAAAGAAAGAAAAAAAAAUAUUUAGCUUUCUCCUUCUGGUUUCUUCUGUUUUUCUUGUUUAUGGGGAUUUAAAAUAAUCUAUGUCUUGGGGCAUUUACAUUUAUACAAAACCAGAAAAGAAAAGAUAUAACUCCUGGUUCUUUAAAUGUGUUUUCAUGAGUCAGACUGAAGAUUUUCAUGGCUAAAGUGACUUAUUGAGGUGCCACAUGACACUGAGCACAUGUCAGGCAUGCUGAAGAGCAUGCGUCUCUUACUCUGCCUUCCACACUCUGCACUUGUAAUGGAGAAGGGCCAUCCUAAUCCUGCCUUCUGCAUGAGUGUAAAAAGAAAAACACUUUAUAAAGCACAGUAGAGGACCUUGCCUGGCCAGGGGGGAGAUUAAGUUUGGCAGUCCUGCCUGUCACUCAUUCCCUUCCCAAGAGCUAAGUGUCACUCUUCAGGGCUGUGCCAGCUGCAGCACAGUCAUAUUAACACUGGAGGCUGACACUCUGUCCUUUGUCCCCAUUCGUGACUUGUUCAUAAGGUCCAGACAAACCCUUUGUCUUAGGGUCUGUGUAUACAGUUUAACAGAAAUGUUAUUUCUAUGUGUGGUAAGUGAUUAGUACAUUCAGAUAUCCCUUUCCUGCUGAGAUUUUAAUAAGGAAUGGUUCAUGAAAAUCAAAUAGGACAUAGAAGGAAUAUGUAUAGUAGGUAUAUUCUUAAAAUAGUUUCUGAUUCUGCUGCAUCUCAUACUUUGUAAGACACACUAUAUGUCUUUGUAUGUCUUCUCUUUGUCUAUAUGAGCUGAUUAUCCAGAAUACCUUCGUCAGAUCUCUAGAAGCAGCAACCAAGCCUGUAGUGAGGCAGGUCGUCAAACCUGCAGGGCCUGAGUUUGGAAGCUGUGCACAGACAGUUGUGUAAGGAAGAAGCUGCUAGAUCUGAUUAUAGUUUGUGUUUACUGUGUCUUGGGAAGAAAUAUAAUGGAUAAAAAUAUCCCAAGAAAAAUUCACUCUCUUUUUUUCUUUUCUGGAACCUGCUGUGUUGGCCAGGCUGGGAUUGAGAUCCAUCUUCCUCUGCCUCCCAAGUGCUGGGAUUAAAAGUGUACAAUGACCACACCAGUCUAAAAAGCUAUUCUUACACUGGUGUAAAUUCCCUUUACUCUGUUGUCUUUCAGUAUGUGGCUGACUGUUGACCAUGAUGUUUAUAAAGAGGGCAUCAGAUUUCAUUAUGGAUGGUUGUAAGCCACCAUAUGGUUGCUGGGAUUUGAACUCAGGACCUUUGGAAGAGCAUUUGGCGCUCUUAACCACUGAGCCAUCUCACCAGCCCCCAGAAAUUAUUCUUAAAUAUUUCAAGACCCCAUCAAGACAACCAGGCAGAGUGAGUGAUACAUACCUGCAAUGCCAGCACUCAGCCAGCUGAGGCAGGAGGACCUGGCAUACAUUCUAGGACAUCCUUAGAACUGCAUAAGACCCUUCC